ensembl:lncRNA
AAAAAGUCUGACCAAUCAGAUAAAAGAUUGAAAGAUGUUUUUGAUACCCAUUAUUUAUUGCAACUUUGAGCAACGAAUAGUAAAUAAUAAACUGGGACUGAACUUCUCUAGUCAUGGGACUUCUCUUAAAAUCUUAUAUCUGUGCCCACAACCAGGUUAGAGUUGGUGUCUGAAUGCUUGAGAUGCCUCCACGAGGUUAUUGAACGCCCAUCUAGGGUUAGGGUUGGAGUAAUGUCCAUCCGGGACGUAAAGGUGGUCGAACAGGCUGUCUACCAGUUGGAAGAGCUGUGUGGAGCCGGGCGAGUCAGGGGAAAUCAGCCAGACUUCUUCAAAUGGUUUAUGUGCCAACGCAGGUCAACACAGGGCGCUACGCAGCCGUACAACCUCUGGGCCGACUCCAGAGAGACAGACGUCUGUAACUGCAGGUUGUCCAUGCCUCAUGGAGCUUGGAUACGUGUUUGAGGAGGUUGAACCAGGUGUCACAGUUUUCCCUCAUUGGCAGUGGACACAGUUUGGUCUUUUAAACUGUAAUUUAAAUGUGACAGUUGCAAUAUUACUUUUUCUGUGUGCCCAAGGAGUCAGAAGGUUCCUGGUUCUCCCUAUGCCUGACUCUGAGUUCCUUACUAAUUUAAUUACAACAAAUAC